GCCUGGGAGGACUCUGGUUGCUGGAAUGAGCUGGUCUGUUGGGGGAGGGGGCACUGGAAGCCAAAGGACCCAGAGGGAAGCAGAGACGAGACAGGAGCUGAAUCACAGCCACGGAAAGCCAGCAGAGACCAGUGAGCUGCCAGAGGAGGGGACAGGGCCGGUCACAUGGGACCUGCGCAGACCCAUGGGGCCCUGAGAUCAGAAUGGCCCCAGGGCAAUCAACUCCCUGACACAGGCCAGAUGGACAUCCGGGAGAAAUCCAUAGUACUGGAGCUGGUUCAGAGCCCCACGGAAUUAACUAGGAAUAAAACCACGAGAGAAAGG
rnacentral:lncRNA from 1 species